AAAGCAGAAGGUGGAUGCCUUGGCUUGUUUGACCGAAGAAGGACGCCUAGGGUGCGAAAGUCGUCGGGGAGCUCCCAAAAAGCUAUGAUCCGACGGUGUCCGAAUGGGGAAACCCCCCAAGCAGCGAUGCUUGGGAUCUCUGAAUUUAUUCAGAGAGGGGAACGCGCUGAACUGAAAUAUCUAAGUAAGCGCAGGAAAAGAAAUCGCGAGAGAUUCCCUGAGUAAGCGACGAGCGAAACGGGAACAGUCCAAACCGAACUUUUGUUCGGGGUUGUAGGGCUUUCGAUAUUGGAUUCUUAAGAUUAGUAGAACAACGUGGAAUAGUUGGCCACAGAACGUGACAGCCGUGUAUACGAAAAUCAAGAGAAGCAUAGAAAGUACCUGAGUAAGUUGGGAGACGGCAAACUCCCUUCCGAAUCUGGGGCGACCACGCUCCAAGACUAAACAUCAAACAAGACCGAUAGUGAACGAGUACCGUGAGGGAAAGGUGAAAAGAAGGGCGGAAGGCCCCGUGAAAUAGUACCUGAAACCAUCUGCUAACAACCAGAGAGAGUCCUGCAAUAUGGAUGAUCUCGUGCCUAUUGAAGAAUGAGCCAGCGAGUAUUUGCUAGUUGCUUGGUUAAGACACUUUAGUGUUGAAGCCGUAGUGAAAGCGAGCCUGAAUAGGGCGAUUUUGUAACUAGUAAAUGACCCGAAACCGGAGUGAGCUAACCAUGGUCAGGAUGAAGUUAGGCGAAAGCCUGAUGGAGGUCCGCACCGGUGUAUGCUGCAAGAUGCUCGGAUGAACUGUGGUUAGAGGUAAUAUGCCAAUCGAACCCGGAGAUAGCUGGUUCUCCCUGAAAUAUAUUUAGGUAUAGGGUUGCGUGAAGUGUAAUUGGGGGUAGGGCUCUGAUCGGGCGUCUCAUGGGAAACUGUGAGCGUCUAGUCAAACUUCGAAUACCAAAUACAUGUUUCGCAGCACUCAGCACCUGGGAGCUAAGUUCCAGGAGCAAAAGGAAAACAAACCGGACCUACAGCUAAGGUCUCCAAUAAACAUUUAGUGGAAAAGGAAGUUUAAAUUCUAAGACACCUAGGAGGUCGGCUCAGAAGCAGCCAUCCUUUAAAGAAAGCGUAACAGCUCACUAGCCGUAGAAUUUAUGCGCCGAAAAUUAACGAGGCUCAAAUGUUUAACCGAAGCUUAGGAUUCGUUCUAGUUUACUAGAAUGAGUGGUAAGGGAGCGUUCUGUGUGCGAUGAAGGUGACCCGUAAGGAGUUGCUGGAGCGAUCAGAAGUGAGAAUGCUGGCAUAAGUAGCGUCAUUGAAGUGAGAAUCUUCGACUCCGAAUGUCCAAGGUUUCCGCACCCACGUUCGUCGUGUGCGGGUUAGGCGACCCUAAGGCGAGCCUCCGUCUCAGACGGAGGGUACCCGAUGGAUUACUGGUUAAUAUUCCAGUCCUUGAUAAAAGACAUUAUUACUUGGGGAGGGACGAUGAUGGAUAGGGGCAGUGUCAAAGUGAAUUUGACAUUCAAGCAGUGAGACAGUCUUGGCAGGCAAACCCACCAAGGCGUUUAUUCAAGCUGUUAUAGGUCUUUGUUCCUGCGGGAGCAUUGAUUGCCUUGACUUCAUUAUCCUGGAAAAGCUUCGCAAGGAGCCUUUUAUCAAAUCGUACCGAUAACCGACACAGGUGGACAGGUCGAGUAGACCAAGGAGAGCGAGAGAAAGUAGUUUAAGGAAUUCGGCAAAAUAGCUGGGCGUAACUUUGGGAGAUGCCCUUCUCUUUCGGGUGUUAAAGCCUGAGAGAGGCACAGCAAAAGACGUAGGGUUGACUGUUUACCAAAAACACAGGUCCGUGCAAACCCGCAAGGGGAAGUAUACGGGCUGAAACCUGCCCAGUGCUGGAAGGUUAAUUGCGAGAGUGCUAGUCGUAAGAUUAGUGCUUUCAAUCGAAGCCCCAGUGAACGGCAGCAGUAACUAUAACUGUUCUAAGGUAGCGAAGUUCCUUGUCACUUAAUUGGUGACGUGCAUGAACGGCUCAACAAGCCCUACACUGUCUUGAACUACUACUCGGCGAAAUUGAGAUGGCCGUGAAGACGCGGCCUACUAACAUCUGGACAAAAAGACCCCAUGAAGCUUUACUACAACUUGGCACUGGUCUUAUAUAUGGAAUUGUUUAGGAUAGGUGGGAGUUCCUUCAUUUAUUGAUGGGACGUCAGUGAAAUACCACUCGUUUUAUAUGUAAGACCUCACUUAACUUAGAUGCAAACUCUAAGAAGGACACUGUCUGGCGGGUAGUUUAACUGGGGAGGUUGCUUGCUAAAGUGUAACGCAAGCGCGCAAUGGUACUCUUAGCUUGGAUGGAAAUCAAGCUGUACGUGCAAUAGCAUAUGAGUGCUUAACUGUGAGGCAUACAGGCCGAGCAGAUGCGAAAGCAGGUUAUAGUGAUCCUCGUGCACUUUGUGGAAGGUGCCGGGCUUAUCGGAUAAAAGCUACUCUGGGGAUAACAGAGUCAUCGCGCCUAAGCGUCCCUAGCGUCGGCGCGGUUUGCUACCUCGAUGUCGGCUCAUCGCAUCCUGGGGGUGAAGAAGCUCCCAAGGGUUUGUCUGUUCGCCAAUUAAAGCGGUACGCGAGCUGGGUUCAGACCGUCGUGAGACAGGUCGGCCUCUAUCCGAUGUUAGCGUUAGAAAGUUGAGAGAAUUUGUCUCUAGUACGAGAGGACCGAGAUGAGGAAAUCCCUAGUGUUCCUGUUGUUGCUGUCAAGCGCACCGCAGGGUAGCUACAUUUCUUUUGGAUAACCGCUGAAAGCAUAUAAGCGGGAAACCAUGCUCAAGAUUAACUUUCUCCAUUAGACCCGUGGGAGACUACCACGUUGAUAGGCUGCCGGUGCAAGCAUGGCGACAUGUUUAGCCUAGCAGUACUAAGUGUCGAUUGAACAAAAU
rnacentral:rRNA from 1 species